rnacentral:RNase_P_RNA from 1 species
UCGCAGGUCCGCUCUGUCGCUGCCGACCAUCGUCGGGAGAGGAAAGUCCGGGCAACAUAGAGCGCCACGCAAGCUAACGACUUGAUGUCCGAGAGGGCAUGGUAGCGUAACAGAAAAUAACCGCCUGUUCGAUGUGCGCACGUUGAGCCGGUAAGGGUGAAAAGGUGGGGUAAGAGCCUACCGCGGAGGCGGCAACGUCGUCCGGUCAGUACGUCCCGUGAGUUGCAAGACCAUGUAUACCGACAAUUAAGGGUUGCUCGUCCGAUGUCGGGGGGUAGGUUGCUAGAAGCGGCAGGUGACUGCUGUUGUAGAUAAAUGACAGAGACCCGAGUUUCGAUUCGGGCACAGAACCCGGCUUAUAGGAUCUGCAAAAUA